CCUACGGUGCGCAGCAGUGGGGAAUAUUGGACAAUGGGCGAAAGCCUGAUCCAGCCAUGCCGCGUGUGUGAAGAAGGCCUUCGGGUUGUAAAGCACUUUCAGUGGGGAAGAAAGCCUUGGGGCUAAUACCCUCGAGGAAGGACAUCACCCACAGAAGAAGCACCGGCUAACUCCGUGCCAGCAGCCGCGGUAAUACGGAGGGUGCGAGCGUUAAUCGGAAUUACUGGGCGUAAAGCGCGCGUAGGCGGUCUGAUAAGCCGGUUGUGAAAGCCCCGGGCUCAACCUGGGAACGGCAUCCGGAACUGUCAGGCUAGAGUGCAGGAGAGGAAGGUAGAAGUCCCGGUGUAGCGGUGAAAUGCGUAGAGAUCGGGAGGAAUACCAGUGGCGAAGGCGGCCUUCUGGACUGACACUGACGCUGAGGUGCGAAAGCGUGGGUAGCAAACAGGAUUAGAUACCCUUGUAGUC
rnacentral:rRNA from 1 species